UACGUAGGGUGCAAGCGUUAUCCGGAAUUAUUGGGCGUAAAGAGCUCGUAGGCGGUUUGUCGCGUCUGCUGUGAAAACUGGAGGCUCAACCUCCAGCCUGCAGUGGGUACGGGCAGACUAGAGUGCGGUAGGGGAGAUUGGAAUUCCUGGUGUAGCGGUGGAAUGCGCAGAUAUCGGGAGGAACACCGGUGGCGAAGGCGGUUCUCUGGGCCUUACCUGACACUGAGGAGCGAAAGCGUGGGGAGCGAACA
rnacentral:rRNA from 1 species